rnacentral:rRNA from 1 species
ACCUACGGGGGGCAGCAGUGGGGGAUAUUGCACAAUGGGGGAAACCCUGAUGCAGCGACGCCGCGUGAGUGAAGAAGUAUUUCGGUACGUAAAGCUCUAUCAGCAGGGAAGAAUAAUGACGGUACCUGACUAAGAAGCCCCGGCUAACUACGUGCCAGCAGCCGCGGUAAUACGUAGGGGGCAAGCGUUAUCCGGAUUUACUGGGUGUAAAGGGCGUGUAGGCGGGAGUGCAAGUCAGAUGUGAAAACUCUGGGCUCAACCCAUAGCCUGCAUUUGAAACUGUACUU